rnacentral:rRNA from 1 species
UGCUAAUACCGUAUGUGCCCUUUGGGGGAAAGAUUUAUCGGUAAAGGAUCGGCCCGCGUUGGAUUAGCUAGUUGGUGGGGUAAAGGCCUACCAAGGCGACGAUCCAUAGCUGGUCUGAGAGGAUGAUCAGCCACAUUGGGACUGAGACACGGCCCAAACUCCUACGGGAGGCAGCAGUGGGGAAUAUUGGACAAUGGGCGCAAGCCUGAUCCAGCCAUGCCGCGUGAGUGAUGAAGGCCCUAGGGUUGUAAAGCUCUUUCACCGGAGAAGAUAAUGACGGUAUCCGGAGAAGAAGCCCCGGCUAACUUCGUGCCAGCAGCCGCGGUAAUACGAAGGGGGCUAGCGUUGUU